CGGAGGGAUCAUUACUGAGUUAUCCAAACUCCAACCCUAUGUGAACCUACUGCCGUUGCCUCGGCGGGCCGCGCUUACCCGGUAGCUACCCUGUAGCUACCCGGUAGCGCGUUACGGGCCCGCCGGUGGACUUCUCAACUCUGUUAUAUAUAUACGUAUCUCUGAAUGCUUCUAACUAAAUAAGUUAAAACUUUCAACAACGGAUCUCUUGGUUCUGGCAUCGAUGAAGAACGCAGCGAAAUGCGAUAAGUAAUGUGAAUUGCAGAAUUCAGUGAAUCAUCGAAUCUUUGAACGCACAUUGCGCCCAUUAGUAUUCUAGUGGGCAUGCCUGUUCGAGCGUCAUUUCAACCCUUAAGCCCUGUUGCUUAGUGUUGGGAUUCUAGGCCCCCAGGGCCCUAGUUCCUCAAAGUGAUCGGCGGAGUCGGCGUAUACUCUGAGCGUAGUAGUGUUCUUCUCGCUUUUGUAGUAGCCCCGGCGGCUUGCCGUAAAACCCCUAUAUCUUAGUGGUUGACCUCGAAUCAGGUAGGAAUACCCGCUGAACUUAAGCAUAUCAAUAAGCGGAGGAAAAGAAACCAACAGGGAUUGCCCUAGUAACGGCGAGUGAAGCGGCAACAGCUCAAAUUUGAAUCUGGCCCUAGCGGUCCGAGUUGUAAUUUGUAGAGGAUGCUUUUGGUGAGGUGCCUUCCGAGU
rnacentral:rRNA from 1 species